UCCAUCACAAACAGAUGAAAAUAAAAAUAUUUGGAGUGUCCUCUAUGUUGUCUAAGAUCCUGACGUUAACCUAUAUUUGAUUUUUGAUUAAUAUAUCAUAAUUCAUAGGUAGUUUGCAUAAGGAGUGUUCGCUGUUACCAGGAUGAACUAGACGCAACGUUAGCAGGGAUGGAGAGUCAAAAUGAAGUUUUACUGCUUAAUGAUCCAACUAUUGUCUUUAUACGUUCCUUGGAUCUUAGCAUACUGGAUGUCUUGGCAGGGAUGUUUGUUCUAUUUCUGACUUUGUUAUUAAACAUAAUUAUUAAAUUGGCUAUAAAGCGUCAAGACAUCACCCAAAUUUCAUAUGAAACUGUACCCUACUUACCUCAAAAUUUCAAAGAUAUUGAAGGCUAUAACUUCCCU
rnacentral:lncRNA from 1 species